GUGAUCGCAGCAGCAUAUAUACUAAAAUUGGAAUGAUAGAGAGAAGAUUAGCAUGGCCCCUGCACAAAGAUGACAUGCAAAUUCGUGAAGGGUUCCAUAUUUUU
ensembl:snRNA U6 U6 spliceosomal RNA